rnacentral:miRNA from 14 species
GGUUUCUCUAUGUAGCCUUGGCUGUCCCGGAAUUCACUCUGUAGACCAGGCUGGCCUUGACCUCAGAGAUCCACCUGCCUCUGCCUCCUGAGUGCUGGGAUUAAAGGCGUGCUCUACCGUAUG